AUCAAAGAGAUCAUAACUGUGGUGGUAACCAAACAAAAUGUAUGUAAUUAAGGAUUCAAUCUAGUUUCUCCUCUUUCAAACAACUGCUGCAGAAGCUGUAUGUAUGAACAUGGGUUAAUCACUAUUUAUAUUGUGUUGGAGGGUAUCCAAGCAAGGUUGAAGAUUGAUGUUCAAUUCAAACAAGGCUUUCUAAAUAUAUAUAUAUGCGCUCAUACUAUCCUUUUAACCUGUAUAAUUGAUGAAAUCUGAAUUUUCCAUUUGUGGAACGAAGGGAAAAGAAAUGUGUUCUAAUGAAUUCUAACCAACUCGUACGUGAGGCAAUUGAACAGAAUUUUUUUUAGAACUGAUCUAUCAAAUUGCUCUGCGUUGAUUAGAGAUUUUUUGAAGACGGAAUGGAAGCCGCCGGAGAAGCAAGAAGAAAAUAAUGCAAAGUCUUGUGGAUCCUCUAUUCCUAGAAUCUAUCUUUUUCCCAUCUCUAUCGCAGACUGAUUACUUCCACACACACUUUCUUUCUCUCCAAUUGCUUUAGUGGGAGCAGAGAACCUAUGAAUUUAUAUUUGGUUAGCUUCUAUGCAGAAUAAAUGUACACUGCUGCAAAAGUGGAAAAUACGUUAUACCCUUUGUUAUUGCAAAAAUUAUAUGCUUAGGAUUUUUUUCUCCCUUUAUGGGAUGAGAUUCUGUAGACUGAGAGUUUGAUGAUGAGUUGUUGGAAGAGAGAUAAUUGUUUUAAUUGGCCCUACAUCUUUAAUAACUCAAACAUCAGUAGCCAAAAAGAUGCAUGUGGACUGCCUGAGAUUGGCUAUUACUUUGUAUUUGAAGUGCGAACUAUAAUCAAUUGUUUUUCAUAGAUUUGAGCAGAUAUCAUCAAUUAAUGGGAUAAGGAUCCGUCCUUUUUUGCUUA